UUACUAGCAUAUUAAUGUGCAUAUGGUUUAAAAAAACACAUUUUAAAACAUAGAUGGUCUGAGAUUGCCAGAUGUAUUGUAAUAUUUGCCAAAUAAGACCAUACAAACUUUUGAAUUAAGCAGUAGAAAGAAAUAAUGCAGCUUCCCGCCAUUGUUUUCACCAAGGUCUGAAACUCUAAUAUUAUUACAGACUAGGGAUGUCACAAUACCAAAAAUCUAGAAGUCGGUACCAAUACCACCAAAAGUACACGAUACUCGAUACCAAAUUCGAUACCACGGUGUGGUAUAAAUAUAAAAUGAAAAAAUUUUAAUAAAAACUUUUUAAAAAUUUAAUUGCAACCCCGGUACCUCCACAAGAAUCGGUUCCAAUGCUAUUCCAGAAAAACAAGUACCGUCACGUUUUAAGAAUGUUGGUACCGACUUGGUACCAAAGUAUCAGUUCUCGUGACAUCCCUAUUACAGACAGCGUCGUAAUUAAAGUAUAACUUAUUAUUAAGAACUAAUAGACCAAUAGACCAAAAAAGUAACCAACACUGAAUGCCUAUGAAGUAAAAAGUAAGAUACUUUUACUAUUACAGCAGUUGAAAAGUCGGCAUAUUCCAUGGGAAAACUGCAGAUGUUGAAAACUGGUAAGACUGAUAAGCAAGUCUAAUUUUAAACCUGGCAUAAAUGUUAAUAUAUGAUUAUUUAUUGUAGUUUAUUACAUUGUUUAUUUCAUGGGUUGCUGAGGCACCAUUCCUCCUGGCUCUCAAAGAUGUUAUUUCCAGGCACACUACCUUCCUUACACAACUCUCUUAAUCUUGUUUGUCAUUCAGAUCACUGGUUUAUACUGCAAGUGGUGAUAUAUAAUGAAUUCAACAGUGUGUUUUGUUUAGAAAUCUGAAGAAAGCAUCUAUGGUAACUCAGCAUAAGCACCGUGCAUUUGUAUCACCAUGUUUCUAAAGCUGUUUUGGAGACUUUGGCUUAUGUAUUAGGCUGCAUAUACCUCUAUACUGUAUAUUAAAUGAUCUCUUAUUGUAAAGGUCAGCACCUAAAAUACAAUUUACUGUGCUUUAUGUAAAUUAGGUUUAUUGUGAUCUGCUUUAAAAAAAAAAAAAAGUCUCCAAAAACUUAGGCAUGCUAUUUAGUGCAGCUCAUGAUUUUAAUUUGUAGAGGUCAACAAUAAUGGACAGCUACCUAGACUGAACGUGAACCCACUGUGCACAUUGCUGUCCAUCUACUAUAAGCAACUGCAGUGGGGCUCUUAAUGUUUAACUGUUCAAUUUAUCCGGCCAAACCUAUGGGGUUGUCAGAUAGUGAGACAUCAGAUUGGAUAAGGCAAAAUGGACCUUAGAGCGUCCUGCAAGCUUAAGCUUUUCUUAAGCAAUAUAAAUCCACGGCUUUGCACACGCUCUGCCAAAUUUGAUGGCAUUUUAAAUCGGUUUGAAUUUCAAAAGAGCUUAUCGCAAGCAGGACCAGGCGUGAGCAGGACCUGGUUGGUCGUGACGUCGGCUUCGACCUGGAACGGGAUCUUGGCGUGAGCAGAGCUUGGGUUGGCCGUCUCUUCGACCUUGGACUAGUCACACUUAUUUGGUGCAGCUUGGCAUGGCAAGCAAUGGACUACCAUCCUGAUGAAUUGUCCCAUUUUGUGCCCAGUGUUACCAGAAUAGACUCCAGAUCCACCCUGGCCGUAAUUAGGAUAAAAUGGCUACUGAAAAUGAAUGAAUGAAUGAAUGAAUGAAUGAAUGGAUGAAUUAAUAUAAAUGUGCAUUAUUAGUGAGUCCAAUUUUGCAUAGAACUAUGUACAGUUUUUGAACUAGUCGGCUACAGAUAUACAGAUAAUGCAAUGUAAUGUAAUGCAAAAUUGUAAUGUAAUGCAAAUAAAACAUGAAUAUGGUCAGAAUUGUACUGCUUUGUGUAGUGAAAAGUUAUUUUCAUGGUACUUUAAAGAGCAAAGUAAUUUGAAAUGUUGUCAAAGGUAAUUGAUGUUAAUGUCAAACUCUGGAAUUGCCAUCCAUUUUCCAUACCGCUUAUCCUACACAGUGUUGCCUGGAGCCCAUCGAAGGGAACUCGGG